GACGUAGGGGGCCAGCGUUGUUCGGAAUUACUGGGUGUAAAGGGUUCGUAGGCGGUGUAGCAAGUCGGGAGUGAAAUCUCUGGGCUUAACCCAGAGGCUGCUUCCGAAACUGCUGUGCUUGAGUGUGGGAGAGGCGCGUGGAAUUGCAGGUGUAGCGGUGAAAUGCGUAGAUAUCUGCAGGAACACCCGUGGCGAAAGCGGCGCGCUGGACCACUACUGACGCUGAGACGCGAAAGCGUGGGGAGCGAACAGG
rnacentral:rRNA from 1 species